rnacentral:piRNA from 1 species
GAACCUUCUGCUUCCGUCUCAUUGGUC